rnacentral:rRNA from 1 species
GACGAACGCUGGCGGCGUGCUUAACACAUGCCAGUCGAACGGAAAGGCCCUGCUUUUGUGGGGUGCUCGAGUGGCGAACGGGUGAGUAACACGUGAGUAACCUGCCCUUGACUUUGGGAUAACUUCAGGAAACUGGGGCUAAUACCGGAUAGGAGCUCCUGCUGCAUGGUGGGGGUUGGAAAGUUUCGGCGGUUGGGGAUGGACUCGCGGCUUAUCAGCUUGUUGGUGGGGUAGUGGCUUACCAAGGCUUUGACGGGUAGCCGGCCUGAUAGGGUGACCGGCCACAUUGGGACUGAGAUACGGCCCAGACUCCUACGGGAGGCAGCAGUGGGGAAUAUUGCACAAUGGGCGGAAGCCUGAUGCAGCAACGCCGCGUGCGGGAUGACGGCCUUCGGGUUGUAAACCGCUUUCGCCUGUGACGAAGCGUGAGUGACGGUAAUGGGUAAAGAAGCACCGGCUAACUACGUG